AUUUAAUUGAAGAGUUUGAUCAUGGCUCAGAUUGAACGCUGGCGGUAGGCUUUAUACAUGCAAGUCGAGCGGUAACAGACAU
rnacentral:rRNA from 1 species